rnacentral:rRNA from 1 species
CUACAAUGGGCGGUACAAUGGGUAGCAAGAGAGCGAUCUGGAGCUAAUCCUAAAAGCCGUCCUCAGUCCAGAUUGCAGGCUGAAACCCGCCUGCAUGAAGUCGGAGUUGCUAGUAAUCGCGGAUCAGCACGCCGCGGUGAAUACGUUCCCGGGCCUU